UACGUAGGCAGCGAGCGUUGUUCGGAGUUACUGGGCGUAAAGGGUGCGUAGGCGGUUGUUUAAGUUUGGUGUGAAAUCUCCCGGCUCAACUGGGAGGGUGCGCCGAAUACUGAAUGACUAGAGUGCGGGGAGAGGAGAGUGGAAUUCCUGGUGUAGCGGUGAAAUGCGUAGAUAUCAGGAGGAACACCGGUGGUGUAGACGGCUCUCUGGACCGUAACUGACGCUGAGGCACGAAAGCGUGGGGAGCAAACAGG
rnacentral:rRNA from 1 species